rnacentral:rRNA from 1 species
CAGUAGCCACGGUAAUACGUAGGGUGCAAGCGUUAAUCGGAAUUACUGGGCGUAAAGCGUGCGUAGGCGGCUAAUUGAGUCGGAUGUGAAAUCCCCGAGCUUAACUUGGGAAUUGCAUUCGAUACUGGUUAGCUAGAGUGUGGGAGAGGAUGGUAGAAUUCCAGGUGUAGCGGUGAAAUGCGUAGAGAUCUGGAGGAAUACCGAUGGCGAAGGCAGCCAUCUGGCCUAACACUGACGCUGAGGUACGAAAGCAUGGGGAGCAAACAGGAUUAGAUACCCCUGUAGUCCCUGUCUCUUAUAC